GGGCACGACUCAAGUUACACGGAGCGGCGAGCUGCCUUCAGGAGAAGGAUCUGACCUUCAGGGACAGGCAGCGAGGGGGAGAAAAAAAUGCAAAAAGAGCACAUGAUGCAGGGAAAUGGGUGCGAAGAAAUAGGAGAAAGGGAAGGACAAGUGGCGCUCGCAUCUGCUGUCCUGCCAAGGAGACGGGCUCGGGGUAUUUGUAGCUGGUGACAAAAUACCUCCGAGAGGAGCAGCCAUCACCAGGGGGUGUACGCGGCGCACCGGCUGCGAGGAUGGAAAAGCAAACAAGUGUAAAGGAUGGUCAAAAACACAGGAGCCUUCCCGUUCGCAUCGUGUCGAUGAAUGAAGCUACAGGUUCAUUUCACAGCUCUCUCAACCAUCCCGGACGCUGAAACCGAGUGCCGAGACUCGCCGCUUCUGCCCUCCCUCCGUGCAGGAAACAACAGGCGAGAAGGAGGCGAAGGGAUGGAGCGGUGCGCUCCGUGCGAACUUCCAGCCCUUCCCCAGGAUAAAAUAUCCCGAGGGGGGGAAAAAAAAAAAAAAGCGGGGAGCAGCUGGUGCAUGGAAAGUUAUGAGCACAAACAGAUGCUGAAAGCA